rnacentral:rRNA from 1 species
UACGUAGGGACCAAGCGUUGUCCGGAAUCAUUGGGCGUAAAGCGCGCGUAGGCGGCCCGGUAAGUCCGUUGUAAAAGUCGAAGGCUCAACCUUCGAAAGCCGAUGGAUACUGCCGGGCUAGAGUACGGAAGAGGCGAGUAGAAUUCCUGGUGUAGCGGUGGAAUGCGCAGAUAUCAGGAGGAAUACCCAUAGCGAAGGCAGCUCGCUGGGACGUUACUGACGCUGAGGCGCGAAAGCGUGGAGAGCGAACAGG